rnacentral:rRNA from 1 species
CCUACGGGUGGCAGCAGUGAGGAAUAUUGGUCAAUGGGCGGGAGCCUGAACCAGCCAAGUCGCGUGAGGGAAGACGGUCCUACGGAUUGUAAACCUCUUUUGCCGGGGAGCAACGGGGUCCUUGCGAGGGCCCAAUGAGAGUACCCGGAGAAAAAGCAUCGGCUAACUCCGUGCCAGCAGCCGCGGUAAUACGUAGGUGGCAAGCGUUAUCCGGAUUUACUGGGUGUAAAGGGCGUGUAGGCGGGACUGCAAGUCAGAUGUGAAAACCAUGGGCUCAACCCAUGGCCUGCAUUUGAAACUGUAGUUCUUGAGUGAUGGAGAGGCAGGCGGAAUUCCGUGUGUAGCGGUGAAAUGCGUAGAUAUACGGAGGAACACCAGUGGCGAAGGCGGCCUGCUGGACAUUAACUGACGCUGAGGCGCGAAAGUGUGGGGAGCAAACAGGAUUAGAUACCCGAGUAGUC